rnacentral:lncRNA from 1 species
AAACCCAUCUCUUGCUCUUCUUUGCGCCAAUCGGACAAGAGGUGCGAGCCAUUACUCGAUGUUCUCUUCAUCCUUUCUUAAUAUGGAUUUUGUAGGUUGCCAGACGUUCUCUCGUUGUGGAUUGGAAAGAAUACUGUAACUCUUAGUCAGGGCUUGAAUGAAGGUUGUAAAAUGUCUUCAUUGCACAAUACACAUCAAUUUUAUUGCUCGUGCUUGUCCGGUUGUAAAAUCUGCUCAAUAUGUAUAUUGUCCUUUCGUGUCCGUCCCUUUUGAGAUAGAACACUGAACCUUUUGGAUAUAUCUUUGUAUAUAAAAAUUGUGUUUUGUCUCCCGAUUGAAAUGGACCUAAAUAUAAA